rnacentral:rRNA from 1 species
UCGACGAUGAUGCCCAGCUUGCUGGGCGGAUUAGUGGCGAACGGGUGAGUAAUACGUGAGUAACCUGCCCUUGACUCUGGGAUAAGCCUGGGAAACUGGGUCUAAUACUGGAUACUACCUCUUACCGCAUGGUGGGUGGUGGAAAGGGUUUUACUGGUUUUGGAUGGGCUCACGGCCUAUCAGCUUGUUGGUGGGGUAAUGGCUCACCAAGGCGACAACGGGUAGCCGGCCUGAGAGGGUGACCGGCCACACUGGGACUGAGACACGGCCCAGACUCCUACGGGAGGCAGCAGUGGGGAAUAUUGCACAAUGGGCGGAAGCCUGAUGCAGCGACGCCGCGUGAGGGAUGACGGCCUUCGGGUUGUAAACCUCUUUCAGUAGGGAAGAAGCGAGAGUGACGGUACCUGCAGAAGAAGCGCCGGCUAACUACGUGCCAGCAGCCGCGGUAAUACGUAGGGCGCAAGCGUUGUCCGGAAUUAUUGGGCGUAAAGAGCUCGUAGGCGGUUUGUCGCGUCUGCUGUGAAAGCCCGGGGCUCAACCCCGGGUCUGCAGUGGGUACGGGCAGACUAGAGUGCAGUAGGGGAGACUGGAAUUCCUGGUGUAG